UACGAAGGGGGCUAGCGUUGUUCGGAAUUACUGGGCGUAAAGCGCAUGUAGGCGGAUUGUUUAGUGAGGGGUGAAAUCCCAGGGCUCAACCCUGGAACUGCCUCUCUACUGGCAAUCUCGAGUUCGAGAGAGGUGAGUGGAAUUCCGAGUGUAGAGGUGAAAUUGUAGAUAUUCGGAGGAACACCAGUGGCGGAAGGCGGCUCACUGGCUCGGUACUGACGCUG
rnacentral:rRNA from 1 species